GGUGAAGUGGGGGCAGCCGCGGGGGGAUGGCGGAGGGUGGGGGCGUGAAUCGGAAUGAGUGGGCGUAAAGGGGGGGCAGGCGGUUUUGCAAGACAUUGGUGAAAUCCCCGGGGGCAACCUGGGAACGGCCAUUGUGACUGGAAGGCUGGAGGGCGGCAGAGGGGGAUGGAAUUUCGCGUGUAGCAGUGAAAUGCGUAGAUAUGCGAAGGAACACCGAUGGCGAAGACAAUCCCCUGGGCCUGCACUGACGCUCAUGCACGAAAGCGUGGGGAGCAAACAGGAUUAGAUACCCCGGUAGUC
rnacentral:rRNA from 1 species